CCGAUCUAAUUUUAAACAUACGUAGAUAUUAAUUGUUUGAUCUUUGACAAGUUAAAUAUCGUGUAUUCUUAUAUUAAAAUUAUAAAGUUACAGGAGAUUUAUGAUUGAUCAGUACUGGCUUCUAAGUGGUUCGCGUAGAAAUAAUAAAAAGGAGAGAAGAAUAAUUGCAGCGUUUAAAUGAUAGACCACGCAUAAAAAAUUGAUAUCAAAAUAUAUGAAAUUAUUUUCUUAGAGGAAUAAGAGUUUUUAGAACUAUCGUAAGAUAAAACUAAAAUUGUAAGUGCUAACUUUACUACGAUCGAAGAAGAUACAAGAAUAUUCUGUUCGUGUGUUAAAUGGUACACUAAACACAGUGGAAAUUUAUGAGAAGAUUUAUUUGACGAUUAUCUUACCUGCCGUACGCGAAACGUCGAUCUUUCUCGUGGUCGCCAAACGUGUCCCAAAGUCGCAGAGAAACAUUCACGUUAUCGACUACUUCCCAGGAACGUUCUAGGACCUAGAAAAUGGACGCAAGUUGGAGUCUUUUAUCUUAGAUAUAUUUUUACAUUUAACGACUGAUCUACAAUGUGCAAGAAACAAAAUAUGAGACUUUGAGAUAAAUUCGUCGAACAGUCCAUUGAGCAUCGACCAAAGACGCAAUAACAUUCCUCAAAAGCAAUCAAACGAAACGUGGCCAAACUAGAAAUCUACGCAGAGAUCACGAUGAAAGUGAAAAUACAGUACAGGUAUUUGAACGCCUCUUAAAUGACCCGAGGGUAAGCACCGAUGCAGACAUUUGCUCCCAACUUAAGAAUUUUCAACUUCGACAUUUACUGCUCGUUAAACGCUACAUCGCGUGCGAAGCGUUUUGCGUUGUCUUUGUAAAAUUAAAACAAUGAUUAUUACUAA